rnacentral:pre_miRNA from 1 species
UCCACCGUUGUCGCGUUCUGAGAUGUCCAGCUUGUGCCUGGAUUUCAGGCUGACAUCUCAGAACUCGAGAACAGUACA